GUAGAAGAACUGAGAGAUCAGAGUGUACAUGUUGACAUUUAGCUAUGAAUGAAGAUCAGGCAUUUCUAAACUCAUGAAAUACUGAAUGGGACUUAGAGUGAUUGUUACAAUGGAAGAAAUUGGAAAUUUCAAGACACCAAGCAAAUUAUCUGAGAAAAGGAAAUCUGUUCACUCACUCAAAAGGAACAUGAGCUCUUGAAAGGGAUAGCAGCAGAAACCGGUACCGGAGGCCCCAUGCAGAUAAGAUAAGCAGAGCAGCAGGGCUCGGCUCGGGCAUAUAGAAUGUGAGGAAUGCGAGUAGGUUACGAAAGAUGACGGGAAGUACGUGCAAGAUGUGCUCUGCUGCUUGCUCAAUGUUGAUAACGAAAAUAGGCGCGCAAAUGCUGACCUUUUACUCUAUAGGCUAGGAAGUACACAUACUCUUAAAUGGAUAGGCUGGAAAUGUAUGUGGUGUAACAAAAUCAUUGGCUAUGUGCCGCGCGGGCUUUUGCUGUAACGGCAGGUAGUGGUCUAUAUAAGAUCUCCCCUAAAGUAGUCAUGGUCGUGUUUUCCUAACCAGUCCUGCGUGUCCGUGUGGGAGCUCGACCCUGGCUAGCCAGCCCAAUAAACUCUGCUUUGUUGAUUGCA
rnacentral:lncRNA from 1 species